rnacentral:misc_RNA from 1 species
AACGCACCUUGCGCCCUUUGGCUAUUCCGAAGGGCAUGCCUGUUUGAGUAUCAUGAACACCUCAACUCUCAUGGUCCGCCAUGAUGAGCUUGGACUUUGGGGGCCUUGCUGGCUAACGUCGGCUCCUCUCAAAUGGAUCAGCUUGCCAGUGUUUGGUGGCGUCACGGGUGUGAUAACUAUCUACGCUUGUGGUUGCCCCCAUGUAACCUUCAGCAACGGAGGUUCGCUGGAGCUCACAGACGUCUCUCCUUGGGGAGGACAGCUUUUGAACGUUUGAUCUCAAAUCAGGUAGGACUACCCGCUGAACUUAA